rnacentral:rRNA from 1 species
UGCAGUCGAGCGAGAAAGCUUUCUUCGGAGAGUGAGUAGAGCGGCGCACGGGUGAGUAACGCGUGGAUAAUCUACCCUUAAGAUCGGGAUAACAGCUGGAAACGACUGCUAAUACCGAAUGUCCUGCAUAUUUAGCUUUAUGUGGAAAAGGUGGCCUCUAUUUAUAAGCUACCACUUUUGGGUGAGUCCGCGUCUCAUUAGCUUGUUGGUGGGGUAAUGGCCUACCAAGGCAACGAUGAGUAGCUGGUCUGAGAGGAUGAUCAGCCACACUGGGACUGAAACACGGCCCAGACUCCUACGGGAGGCAGCAGUGGGGAAUAUUGCGCAAUGGGGGAAACCCUGACGCAGCGACGCCGCGUGUAGGAAGAAGGCCUUCGGAUCGUAAACUACUGUCAAGAGGGAAGAAACUGUUAAAGUCUAAUAAGCUUUUUCACUGACGGUACCUCUAGAGGAAGCACCGGCUAACUCCGUGCCAGCAGCCGCGGUAAUACGGAGGGUGCGAGCGUUAAUCGGAAUCACUGGGCGUAAAGCGUGCGUAGGCGGCGCUUCAAGUCAGGCGUGAAAGCCCUCGGCUCAACCGAGGAAUUGCGUUUGAAACUGGAGUGCUAGAGUCUCGGAGAGGUUGGCGGAAUUCCAGGUGUAGGAGUGAAAUCCGUAGAUAUCUGGAGGAACACCGGUGGCGAAGGCGGCCAACUGGACGAGUACUGACGCUGAGGUACGAAAGCGUGGGGAGCAAACAGGAUUAGAUACCCUGGUAGUCCACGCCGUCGAUGGAUAUUAGGUGUCGGGUUUUAAAUUCGGUGCCGCAGUUAACGCGUUAAAUAUCCCGCCGGGGAGUACGUCGCAAGGCUGA